rnacentral:lncRNA from 1 species
AGUUCUGCUGCCGCUCCAGCUCCAGCGCCUGAAUGGGGAAAUGGGAAAAUGGGAAAAUGGGAAAAUGGGAAAAUGGGAAAAUGGGAGUGACUGCUGCAAGUUCCGCUGCUGCUCCAACUCCAGCGCCUGGACGGGGGAAAACGGGAAAAAUGGGAAAAACGAGAAAAAUGGGGAAAUGGGAAAAACAGGAGCAGCUGCUGGAAGCUCUGCUGCCGCUCCACCUCCAGGGCCUGGACGGGGGAAAAAUGGGAAAAACGGGGGAAAUCCCCGUACCUGCUGGCACUGAUCCCAUUGAUCCCACAGAUCCCAUUGAUCCCACAGAUCCCAUAGAUCCCAUAGAUCCCAUGCCACCGUACCUGCUGGCACUGGCGGGCGCCGUCGCGCUGAUCCCAUUGAUCCCAUUGAUCCCAUUGAUCCCAUAGAUCCCGUGCCCCGUACCUGCUGGCACUGGCGGGUGCCGUCGCGCUGAUCCCAUUGAUCCCAUUGAUCCCAUUGAUCCCAUUUGAUCCCAUAGAUCCCAUAGAUCCCGUGCCCCGUACCUGCUGGCACUGGCGGGCGCCGUCGCGCUGAUCCCAUUGAUCCCAUUGAUCCCUGAUCCCAUUGAUCCCAUUGAUCCCAUAGAUCCCAUUUGAUCCCAUUGAUCCCAUAGAUCCCAUUGAUCCCAUAGAUCCCGUGCCCCGUACCUGCUGGCACUGGCGGGCGCCGUCGCGCUCGCGCUGCAGCCGCCGCAGCUCGGCGGGGUCGGGCCGGUGCCCCCCGGGCACGCGGUAGCCCUCGGGCCGGGG